GACAGAGGGUGCAAACGUUGUUCGGAAUUACUGGGCGUAAAGCGCGUGUAGGCGGCCCUGCAAGUCGGGUGUGAAAUCCCACGGCUCAACCGUGGAAGUGCACUCGAAACUGCAGGGCUAGAGUCCUGGAGAGGAAGGUGGAAUGCUUGGUGUAGAGGUGAAAUUCGUAGAUAUCAAGCGGAACACCGGUGGCGAAGGCGGCCUUCUGGACAGUGACUGGCGCUGAGACGCGAAAGCGUGGGGAGCAAACAGG
rnacentral:rRNA from 1 species